UGGGGUUAUAGCUCAGCUGGUAGAGCACCAGAUUUGCAUUCUGGGGGUCAGGAGUUCGAAUCUCCUUAGCUCCAU
rnacentral:tRNA from 1 species